rnacentral:rRNA from 1 species
AGGGAAUUGUUCGCAAUGGGCGCAAGCCUGACGACGCAACGCCGCGUGGAGGAUGAAGACCUUCGGGUCGUAAACUCCUUUCGACCGAGAUGAAUACCUGCCGACCCAAUACGUUGGCAGGCUGACAGUAUCGAGGGAAGAAGCCCCGGCUAACUCCGUGCCAGCAGCCGCGGUAAUACGGGGGGGGGCAAGCGUUGUUCGGAUUUACUGGGCGUAAAGGGCGCGUAGGCGGCCUCCGCAAGUCGACUGUGAAAUCUCCGGGCUUAACCCGGAACGGUCAGCCGAUACUGCGGGGCUAGAGUGCAGAAGGGGCAACUGGAAUUCUCGGUGUAGCGGUGAAAUGCGUAGAUAUCGAGAGGAACACCUGCGGCGAAGGCGGGUUGCUGGGCUGACACUGACGCUGAGGCGCGAAAGCUAGGGGAGCGA